CUAGAUAGACUAAUAGGUUAUCCAGGCUGAUAGCUACCACAUGAUCCUUGCCUCUACAACUUAUACCCUUCCUAGAAGGCGAGCAGUUGUAGAGCUUGAAAUUGGUAUUAGUUAGUCUAACGAGAGUUUUAUUGUUAUUUUUGUGUGAUCCUGUCUCUAGAGUCCAAAGAGAGGUGUGCUUGUAAAUAAUUAUACUUGGUUGAAUAAAGUUUUCCAUUUAACCAAAAAAUAGCUGGGCAUCUUUAUACCCUAUCGUUACUUAGUUGUAGCAUAAUUACUCUUCUCCCAAACAGCUAGGGUUUCGAAGGGAUUCCAAGUUCUAUAAGAGAUUCAGUUAUUCCAAGAAGGACGGUUAGAUGCAGUGAUGAGUGUACUACCAGAAGCAUAUUACAGAUUCUGUGUUGGACAGAUUGAGGCUAAUUGGUGUAGAAGUGGAGGAAUGGUGAAACAAAAUAUUGAUGUGAUGGUGUUCUUAUAACACUUAUAAAGAGGAAUUUGAAGGCUAGAUAAUAAAAUUGGGAGACUAAGCUGAAGAUGCUGCAAAGGAUAUAAUGCAUUAUCCACCAAAAGCUUGGUGUAGAGCUUUCUUUUAUAUAUAAUGUAAGAAAAUAAUGGUGGAUAAUAACUUUACUGUAUCAUUUAAUGCAUGGAUUCUGGAGGCUAGAUGCAAGCCUAUCAUCAAGAUGCUUGAAGAAAUAAAGAUCAAGGUGAUGUGAAUGUUGACUAACAAUGAAGCUAAAUUGAGACUUGAAAUGCUGACUACAUUCCACAAGAUAUGAAACUAUACAGUGAUUCCAGGCAAAUUGCCUCACAUUGCAAGGUACAAUUUGAUGGUAAUCAUGGAUAUGAGGUUUUAGAAGGUAAAAAUAGACACACUGUCCAAAGAAGAUGAGAUGCACAUGUAGGAUAUGGGACUUGGUGAAAUCCCAUGUCCCCACACAAUCAAAGCCCUGAUGUACUAGAAGGUUGAUCCUAUAACUGAAAUAAGUUGGUAGUAUACUAACGAGGCUUAUAUGCUAACAUAUAAGCAAAAAAUGAUAUUGAGGGGUCCAAAAUUCUAAAAAUUUGAUCCUUCUUAAGACAGAGCCACCUGAUAUUGUGAAAAUUGUUAGCAGGCCCAAAGUUAAGAGAAACAGACAGCAGAUAAGGUAAGAAAAAGAAAAGGAGAUGACUCAAAUUUAUUGCAUCAAAUGUGGUGAGCCUAACUACAAUGCAAGGGGAUGUUUCAAGGUACAAAUAACAGUAUUCUGCAUUUUUAAUUACAUUGGUAUAACUACCAUACACUGUUUUGUGCCAGGAUUCUAGAGCUGGAAGUAAUGCACAAGCUAGGAAAAAGGAAAGGGAUAACGUGCAGUUAAACUGAAGAUGAAUUCCAAGCAAAGACGACUGAAGAAGAGACCCUGACAGAUCUUACUAAAGAUCUCCAAGCUCUAGCACAGGCAACACAAUAGUCUAUUGGUUAUGGUAAGCGACGAAGACCCGCCAUUAAGGCCACAUGUUAUUUUUGAGACAAAAAUAAGACUGGAAAGUAAGCAAAAAUGGCAAAAUUCAAUUGAGGCAAGAAGGAUUCAGUUCGGGAGAGAUCACACAGGAAGCUCAACGCUAAAUUGCCUUUCUCACCAAACAAGGCAACUUGGAUGGGGAAGACAACCAUGACAUCCAAUCAGUUGCAAGAAGAAGUCAGAAGAAAAAAAAAAAGGUGAAGAAGAUCGGAAUAAAGGGUAAAGGUGCGCGUACAUCAGAGACAUAGUAGUUGGAUAGUUAAUAUUUUUAGUGAAGGCUGACAUGUAUAAUUGGGUAGUUAAUAUUUUUAUGAGGACUAGUAUAGGUAGUUGGACAGUUAUGCUAGUCUUUUGGCUUAGCCAUCCGAUGGUUGAUUACAUUUAAUAUUUUUUGUCAUUGAUUAAGCACCUGAUAAAUAAGAACAAGUUGCAUAAAAAUGAAUUUGUUGCACUUUGAAUGAAC